GUAGGUGGCAAGCGUUGUCCGGAAUUAUUGGGCGUAAAGCGCGCGCAGGCGGUCCUUUAAGUCUGAUGUGAAAGCCCACGGCUCAACCGUGGAGGGUCAUUGGAAACUGGGGGACUUGAGUACAGAAGAGGAAAGCGGAAUUCCAAGUGUAGCGGUGAAAUGCGUAGAGAUUUGGAGGAACACCAGUGGCGAAGGCGGCUUUCUGGUCUGUAACUGACGCUGAGGCGCGAAAGCGUGGGGAGCAAACAGGGAUUAGAUACCCUGGUAGUCCACGCCGUAAACGAUGAGUGCUAAGUGUUAGGGGGUUUCCGCCCCUUAGUGCUGCAGCUAACGCAUUAAGCACUCCGCCUGGGGAUACGGCCGCAAGGCUA
rnacentral:rRNA from 1 species